GGUUCAGAUCAAAGUUUUAUUAUUUGUGCUUUAGUUUAAGCUCAUGUUAUUUUUGUUGGAGAAACUCGAAACUCUAUUCCAGGAUUGUCUAGUGCAGACAUCUAUACCCAUGGUUAUUUAUUUGCACAAUUAUUUUCCUGGACUCGCUCUCUUCUCUACUUAAGAGUACGUGUGUUGUAUCACAUAUGAAAAUUAGUUAUUAGAGUGAUUAUCAACCUUGAUUCUUUAUCCAUCAAAUUCGAAUAUCCAAUGAGGAUGGGAGUUUUACUGGUUGAAGUGACAAGCAUUAGUUAUGAUUGCAACAGUUGCAUUCAUUACCGUACUUGGAUGUAUAUCUAAUAGGUUAUAAUGUGUAAACACUUUUGCAUGUUCUCGUAACUUCAAUAUGCUCACAAAUUAAUUCCAAACCUAGUCUGAAUUUUGAUUAAGUUGAAUACUUCCUGCACCCUAGCUUUCACUAAAAGAUACACUUGUUGCUAUUGAUGUCUGUUUGCGUUUUGUAAAAUAGAUAAUCAUAUAUAGCCUGUUUCCAUUGUUGAUUUAUUGACUACUUACACUUUCCUUGGUUUUCUUUCCUUGUAUGGAAAUGUGGUAUUCUCAAUGAGUUUCUGAAUUUCCUUCCCACCUUAGUGGAAUAGCAUAUAUGGACUCCCUUUUUAUUUUCUGGCAGGUUGAUAAAUUGACACUAGUUUGGGGAAAACCACGGCAACCAUCUUUGGCGCCUGAAGAGGUAAGAGCUGGGCUUUGUUGAGGAUAAGUUCUAUUGAAAAUUGCAACGUAUUUUUACCAAGCAGAUGUUUAUCAUUUCAUAAAAUUUGAAUUUGUAUCUCUAAAAAUUUGAGGCAGUGGCAGGUGUGUAAUGAAUACUAUUAUUUAUCAAACUUCUAUGUUCUUUGUGCUUUAGACCAACUAUAUAUGGAUGUUUCUUGUUUAUUGUGCUUUUUUUGCUUGCAAGCAGAACCUAUUUGUGCUGAUAGAUAGAGCUAGAACUUAUAGGUAUAGCAAGGUAUGCAUUAUUUAGAUCUUCUCUUCUUUUGCCGUGUUUGGAAAAUUGUUUCUUGUUUUUCCUCUUGUUUGGUUUUAUAUGCUAAUUUGUACAUGUUUAUGCCUUGUAUAUUAGUCCAACUUAUUAAACAAAUUGUCUCCUAACAAAAAUUCUAAUCACACUAAUAUAAGUUCAAACCUUUUACAUUCUUUGAAGAUGUGAAUGGAUAUCUUGGUUGAUACCUGUUGAUCAAUUUUAUAGACUAGGCCAAACCUUA